rnacentral:rRNA from 1 species
UACGAAGGGGGCGAGCGUUGUUCGGAAUUACUGGGCGUAAAGGGCGCGCAGGCGGCUCUGAAAGUCAGAUGUGAAAGCCCCGGGCUUAACCUGGGAAUUGCAUUUGUGACUGUAGAGCUAGAGUACGGCAGAGGGGGAUGGAAUUCCGCGUGUAGCAGUGAAAUGCGUAGAUAUGCGGAGGAACACCGAUGGCGAAGGCAAUCCCCUGGGCCUGUACUGACGCUCAUGCACGAAAGCGUGGGGAGCAAACAGG